UGCCAGCCGCCGCGGUAAUACGGAGGGGGCGAGCGUUAUUCGGAAUCACUGGGCGUAAAGCGUACGUAGGCGGCUUGACAAGUCAGAAGUGAAAUCCCAGGGCUCAACCCUGGAACUGCUUUUGAAACUGUCUCGCUAGAAUAUCGGAGAGGUCAGGAGAAUUCCUAGUGUAGAGGUGAAAUUCGUAGAUAUUAGGAGGAAUACCAGAGGCGUAGGCGCCUGACUGGACGAUUAUUGACGCUGAGGUACGAAAGCGUGGGGAGCGAACAGGAUUAGAUA
rnacentral:rRNA from 1 species